GACGAACGCUGGCGGCGUGCUUAACACAUGCAAGUCGAACGGGAAGGCCCUGCUUUUGUGGGGUGCUCGAGUGGCGACCGGGUGAGUAACACGUGAGUAACCUGCCCUUGACUUUGGGAUAACUUCAUGCAACUGGGGCUAUUACCGGCUAGGAGCUCCUGCUGCUUGGUGGGGGUUGGAAGGUUUCGGCGGUUGGGGAUGGACUCGCGUCUUAUCAGCUUGUUGGUGGGGUAGUGGAUUAGCAAGGCUUUGACGGGUAGCCGUCCUGGGAGGGUGACGGGCCACAUUGGGACUGAGAUACGGCCCAGACUCCUACGGGAGGCAGCGGUGGGGAAUGGUGCACAAGGGGCGGAAGCCUGAGGCAGCAACGCCGCGUGCGGGAGGACGGCCUUCGGGUUGUAAACCGCUUGCGCCUGUGACGAAGCGUGAGUGACGGUAACGGGUAAAGAAGCACCGGCUAAAUACGUU
rnacentral:rRNA from 1 species